UCCUUGGUGGCUUAGUGGAUUGAGCGUCGAACUGGUUAUUCGGAGGUUGCGGGUUCGAAUCCCGCUCGAGGAG